UGGGGAAUCUUGCACAAUGCGCGAAAGCGUGAUGCAGCAACGCCGCGUGCGGGAUGAAGGCCUUAGGGUUGUAAACCGCUUUCAGUUGGGACGAAUCUUCACAGGUUAAUAGCCUAUCGGAGUGACGGUACCUUCAGAAGAAGCGCCGGCUAACUACGUGCCAGCAGCCGCGGUAAUACGUAGGGCGCGAGCGUUGUCCGGAAUCAUUGGGCGUAAAGCGCGUGUAGGCGGCUUAGUAAGUCUACUGUGAAAGUCCAGGGCUCAACCCUGGAAUGUCGGUGGAUACUGCUGAGCUGGAGUACGGGAGGGGCGAGUGGAAUUCCUGGUGUAGCGGUGGAAUGCGCAGAUAUCAGGAGGAACACCUAUGGCGAAGGCAGCUCGCUGGAACGUUACUGACGCUGAGACGCGAAAGCGUGGGGAGCAAACAG
rnacentral:rRNA from 1 species